AUUGAACGCUGGCGGAAUGCUUUACACAUGCAAGUCGAACGGCAGCACGGGGCAACCUGGUGGCGAGUGGCGAACGGGUGAGUAAUACAUCGGAACGUGCCCAAUCGUGGGGGGAUAACGUAGCGAAAGUUACGCUAAUACCGCAUACGAUCUACGGAUGAAGGCGGGGGAUCGCAAGACCUCGCGCGAAUGGAGCGGCCGAUGUCAGAUUAGGUAGUUGGUGGGGUAAAGGCUCACCAAGCCAACGAUCUGUAGCUGGUCUGAGAGGACGACCAGCCACACUGGAACUGAGACACGGUCCAGACUCCUACGGAGGCAGCAGUGGGGAAUUUUGGACAAUGGCGCAAGGACCUGACUCCACG
rnacentral:rRNA from 1 species